CUUCGGGUCUAGUGGCGCACGGGUGCGUAACGCGUGGGAAUCUGCCCUUAGGUACGGAAUAACUCAGGGAAACUUGAGCUAAUACCGUAUAAUGACUCCGGUCCAAAGAUUUAUCGCCUAAGGAUGAGCCCGCGUAGGAUUAGCUAGUUGGUGAGGUAAAAGCUCACCAAGGCGACGAUCCUUAGCUGGUCUGAGAGGAUGAUCAGCCACACUGGGACUGAGACACGGCCCAGACUCCUACGGGAGGCAGCAGUGGGGAAUAUUGGACAAUGGGCGAAAGCCUGAUCCAGCAAUGCCGCGUGAGUGAUGAAGGCCUUAGGGUUGUAAAGCUCUUUUACCCGGGAUGAUAAUGACAGUACCGGGAGAAUAAGCCCCGGCUAACUCCGUGCCAGCAGCCGCGGUAAUACGGAGGGGGCUAGCGUUGUUCGGAAUUACUGGGCGUAAAGCGCACGUAGGCGGCUUUGUAAGUUAGAGGUGAAAGCCCGGGGCUCAACUCCGGAAUUGCCUUUAAGACUGCAUCGCUAGAAUUGUGGAGAGGUAAGUGGAAUUCCGAGUGUAGAGGUGAAAUUCGUAGAUAUUCGGAAGAACACCAGUGGCGAAGGCGACUUACU
rnacentral:rRNA from 1 species